GACGUAGGGCGCGAGCGUGUCCGGAUUUAUUGGGCGUAAAGAGCUCGUAGGCGGCUUGUCGCGUCGGAUGUGAAAGCCCCGGGGCUUAACUCCGGGUCUGCAUUCGAUACGGGCAGGCUAGAGUGUGGUAGGGGAGAUCGAAUUCCUGGUGUAGCGGUGAAAUGCGCAGAUAUCAGGAGGAACACCGGUGGCGAAGGCGGAUCUCUGGGCCAUUACUGACGCUGAGGAGCGAAAGCGUGGGGAGCGAACAGG
rnacentral:rRNA from 1 species